AUCUGUGUCUAUGAUACAUGCACAAAGAGCAAACCAGACGACAAACAGGCCAUCGUUUGCCCUCCCUCUCGUAUAGCCGAUCGCUCUUCCUCCCAUUGACUGACAGUUGCCCAUCGCCCAUCGUCCCUCUCAUCGACGGCAAUCACCGUCCCUCACUGUGGCUCACCGUCUUAUCGCCACGGUUGGUACACCGUCUCGCCUCCUAUAGAUUUUGAUUCAGCAAACCUGAAUGUUUCGAAUGGAUUGCAGAAUUGCAAGCCGUCACACCAUUUGAGUUUCGAGUGGAAUCACUGUCUUGGGUGAACUGUACAUGGUUGUAUGCAGCCCAACAGAUGGUACAUUAGUGGCAACAGGGGGUGGAGAUGACAAAGGAUUUCUUUGGAAGAUUGGUUAAAGC